rnacentral:rRNA from 1 species
AAAUUGAAGAGUUUGAUCAUGGCUCAGAUUGAACGCUGGCGGCAGGCCUAACACAUGCAAGUCGAACGGUAACAGGAAGCAGCUUGCUGCUUUGCUGACGAGUGGCGGACGGGUGAGUAAUGUCUGGGAAACUGCCCGAUGGAGGGGGAUAACUACUGGAACCGUUGGCUAAUACCGCAUAACGUCGCAAGACCA